GUUAACUAAUAGACUCUUGUUGACGGAGAGGGUGGUUCGGGUGAUCAGUCUGAUCCAGCCUACACUUGCGAUUCUUCCUUCGGUGUUCUGCAAGUGAGGUUACCUCCAAAU